GGUUCUAUGGUCUAGUGGCUAUGACUGCGGAUUCUGAUUCCGCCAGCGAGGGUUCGAUUCCCUCUAGAACCU
rfam:Trichoderma atroviride IMI 206040 TRIATcontig_22, whole genome shotgun sequence.